rnacentral:rRNA from 1 species
AUUGAACGCUGGCGGCAUGCCUUACACAUGCAAGUCGAACGGUAACGGGCCUUCGGGUGCCGACGAGUGGCGCACGGGUGAGUAAUACAUCGGAACGUGCCCGAUCGUGGGGGAUAACGAGGCGAAAGCUUUGCUAAUACCGCAUACGAUCUACGGAUGAAGGCAGGGGACCGCAAGGCCUUGCGCGGACGGAGCGGCCGAUGGCAGAUUAGGUAGUUGGUGGGAUAAAAGCUUACCAAGCCGACGAUCUGUAGCUGGUCUGAGAGGAUGAUCAGCCACACUGGGACUGAGACACGGCCCAGACUCCUACGGGAGGCAGCAGUGGGGAAUUUUGGACAAAGGGCGCAAGCCUGAUCCAGCCAUGCCGCGUGCAGGAUGAAGGCCUUCGGGUUGUAAACUGCUUUUGUACGGAACGAAAAGCCUUCUUUUAAUACAGGAGGGUCAUGACGGUACCGUAAGAAUAAGCACCGGCUAACUACGUG